rnacentral:rRNA from 1 species
GUGUCAGCCGCCGCGGUAAUACGGAGGGUGCAAGCGUUAUCCGGAUUCACUGGGUUUAAAGGGUGCGUAGGCGGAUUAGAAAGUCCGUUGUGAAAUCUCUGAGCUUAACUCGGAAAUUGCGGUGGAUACUAUUAGUCUUGAAUACUGUGGAGGUUAGCGGAAUAUGUCAUGUAGCGGUGAAAUGCAUAGAUAUGACAUAGAACACCAAUUGCGAAGGCAGCUGGCUACACAGAUAUUGACGCUGAGGCACGAAAGCGUGGGGAUCAAACAGGAUUAGAUACCCUGGUAGUCC